rnacentral:lncRNA from 1 species
GACAAAUGUAUAACUGAUUAAUAUAAAUUUUUAUCUGUAAUUUUUGUAUAACAAAAUUUAACUAUUAAAUAAUAAAAACAAACUGCUUAUUUUCAUUUUUAAAAAAAUAUAUAAAAUCAAAACAAACUUAAUUUCUUAAAAUCAAAGCGGUACCAUUACCAAAUGUGAUAUUUAGCAAAAAUAAUAAUAAUAAGCGUACAAAUGAGGUUGUGGGGUGGUCCAGCUCCACCGUACUUGAUGGUCUCUAGCCAGGAAAUACAGGUGUGGUUAUCUUAUCUGCAUGAGAAAAAUUUACCUUCAUCCGGAUUACAUGAAUUGGUAACAUAAAAUAAAACGAUAAAUGCAUUUAUAUAACAUUUUAUAUAUUUAAAUUACAGAUUCAUAUAAAUUUUAUGAAACUUUUACAUCAUAACCCUUUUUUUAAAAAAAAAAAAAAGUGAACGAAUCAUAUAAAUUGUAUAUAAAAUAAAUUAAUUAUAACAAAUCUUAUAUAGAUGAAAAUUAUCAUAGUAAAUUCAUAUUACAUAUAACGUAUAAACGAAAUAAUUUCUCUUUCCGCCUUCGAUAUGAUACUUUUCAGUGCUUUUAUAUUUCUAAUUUCUUAGUACAAGAAGUCAAGAAGGGUGGCCUAAUUGCAGUGACAAGUCGUAUUCAUCUUCAAUUGCUACUCUAUCAAUAUACCUAUCCUUAAUUAUAUCAGUAUUUUCUCUCAAAUUCAUUACAAUACAUCUAUUAUUAGUGACUGCCAUUAUUUUAUUUAUAUUUGGGGAGAGUCAAAUUACUGGUUAAUACAUCAUUUAUAUUUAGCGCUAAAAAUACUUAAUAAAUUUAAAUGCAAUAUAAUUAUAUUUUAAUAGAAAUACAAUUCUAAUUUAUUGAAUAUAAAUUCAUUAAAUUUUUGUUAAGUCAAUGGAAAAGGUUAAUAAGAGGUUAAAUAUAACCAUCUAUUAACAAUAAAUAAAUUAAUUUAUAUUCAAUAUAGGAAGUUGACUCUUACCGUCCCACGUAAAUCCGUUAUUGUUGUGAUAAUUGAUUUUAACAUGCUACAAAAGAAAAAUGUUAAUAACAAUACAUGUUGGAAAUCAAAAUUAUUAAAUAAGAAAAGAUAAUGGCAAUAAUUAUAAAAAUGGAUGUCGCCAUUAUACCAGGAAACUGUAGGUGGACCACCGAACCAAAAUUCAAAUUAUUCACUCCCUCUGCAAGAAUCUUUGCAGGUUUUUGUUUGUUCCUUACUUGCCAUCACUCUCCAGAUAACACAAAACACAGCUCUAGCUACUUUGGACACACAUCUAAAAUCAAAAUGAGACAUGUACGGGUGGUAUACAUCUUUCAGCUAAUUUGUUUCCACAUUUGAGUAUGCAAAUUUUAUCAUCAAAGUCACCUCACGUAAACAAAGAGAUGUGCCUGUUUCAAGCUUAUAUAUACAGUUACACCUCUCUGCUAAAAAUCAUCUCACCCCCCUUCUUCUCUUGUAGUUAGUGCUCAAUUAUUCAACUCGCAGCCUCCUUCUCAUCGUAUUUCAGUGAUUCUCAUGUCCAAAACAUAUCUCCUGAUUGGCAUUGGCAUUGGCAUUCGCCCUCUCUUUGGUCACAUCACCUCCCCAAUCUACGCCAAGCCAAAUGCUAUAUCAUUUCCCACCUCCAUUGCUAUAUUUCGUCUCCUUACACAUACUUCACGAGUCACGGAUUUAUAUCUAUCUGAAAUAUAUAUUUCCUUUCUUUUUUUUUUAAAAAAAAAAAAAUAAUAAUAUUGGGAUUGCCCUUUCGAUGCAAAGUCAAAAGAUAUUUAAUGAGGAAGCACACAUGUAAAAUAGUGACCGCAUAUGAAAAGGUGGUAUGGGCAGGGAAUGGGAAUUGAACACUAAGCAAAAAGGGCACUGGGGGACCUCAGCUGUGUAAGACAGGUUAUGGACCCAAAAUAGCUGCAAAUGGAGUGAUAGUGGGAAAGAAAAUAAAAAUUGAAAAAAAAAAAAAAAGAUGAGUGAAAGAGAACAAUCACCUGUGGAUUUCGCGUCUGGCAAGCUUGCGGGCAUUUAGAAUUUUUGAAGCACCCGAAAUCUUUCUGCAGCUGAUUAGUCAGCAUGCAGUUGAUAUAUAUUUAAGUGCUGUGGUUUGGCAGACCAAGAAGGAUAAACUACUUAGCUUCGAAUAGUUUCCAUGUCUUGGAGCUGUUGGCAGUAUGUGAUGGAUCUUUGAAGACCUUUACUUACUAGCUAGGGCAGAGAUUAUAUUAGGCAUUGAUGAACAUUCUAUAUCACUACUCAUUUCCUAAACAAGACUAGAUCUACAAUCUUAUUAUUGUUUACAUAUUAUUAAUAAUCUAGUGGAUGAAGAAGCUUAGUGGGAGCAAAUCAAAAUCGAGGGGCGAUUUUACAAAAUAGUAGGGCUUACAGGUACAACAGGAGAGAAAUUUGUCUGCCAGAAGGACAGUUUAUGUACAAUAAUCAGUGAGAUGUUUGUUUAUGAUGAUAAUACAUAGUAACAGUGAUGGAGAAGACAGGAUUCGCAGAAAUUAAGAGAGACUUGGGAGGAG